rnacentral:tRNA from 1 species
UNAGACUAAAGUCCGNCUGGUUUGGACGGCUAGUUGUUAACUAGUUUUUUGUGGGAUCGAGGCCUUCUAGUCUAG